AAAGAGAGGUUUGGUAGUUUGGAGAAGGUAAAGGGAAGGUGGUGCUUACCCGUAGGUUCAGGUUGCUCAGCUUCUGUUUUCAGGAGGUAAGGACAGCUUUUUAACUUGUUUUACUGAUUUAUAAGAGCUUUUAAAGAGGUUAAGAGUAGAGUUGCAUGUAUAGGGUUUAAGUUUAGUUUAUGCAUGAAAGCUUGUAUAU
rnacentral:lncRNA from 1 species